GAUAUACUCCCUCCGUCCAGAAAUACUUGUCCUAUAAAUGCAUGUAUCUAGACUUAUUUUAGUUAUAGAUACAUCCAUUUUAAUCAUUUCUAGGACAAGUAUUUUCGGACGGAGGGAGUAUAUG
rfam:Hordeum vulgare subsp. vulgare, WGS project CAJW01000000 data, contig: morex_contig_37426